rnacentral:rRNA from 1 species
AACGAACGCUGGCGGCAUGCCUAACACAUGCAAGUCGAACGAGACCUUCGUGUCUAGUGGCGCACGGGUGCGUAACGCGUGGGAACCUGCCCUUAGGUUCGGAAUAACUCCCCGACAGGGGUGCUAAUACCGGAUAAUGUCUUCGGACCAAAGAUUUAUCGCCUUUGGAUGGGCCCGCGUUGGAUUAGCUAGUUGGUAGGGUAAAAGCCUACCAAGGCGACGAUCCAUAGCUGGUCUGAGAGGAUGAUCAGCCACACUGGGACUGAGACACGGCCCAGACUCCUACGGGAGGCAGCAGUGGGGAAUAUUGGACAAUGGGCGAAAGCCUGAUCCAGCAAUGCCGCGUGAGUGAUGAAGGCCUUAGGGUUGUAAAGCUCUUUUACCCGGGAUGAUAAUGACAGUACCGGGAGAAUAAGCACCGGCUAACUCCGUG